AGUCGAGCGCGAACGGUCCUUCGGGACUUAUUAUAGCGGCGGACGGGUGAGUAAUGCAUAGGUAAUCUGCCCAGCUAGUGGGGGAUAGCCCGGGGAAACCCGGAUUAAUACCGCAUACGUCCUACNGGAGAAAGCAGGGAGAUCUUCGGACCUUGCNCUAUUGGAUGAGCCUAUGUCGGAUUAGCUUGUUGGUAAGGUAACGGCUUACCAAGGCGACNAUCCNUANCUGGUCUGAGAGGAUGAUCAGCCACGCUGGGACUGAGACACGGCCCAGACUCCUACGGGAGGCAGCAGUGGGGAAUAUUGCACAAUGGGGGAAACCCUGAUGCAGCCAUGCCGCGUGUGUGAAGAAGGCCUUCGGGUUGUAAAGCACUUUCAGUANGGAGGAAGGCCUGUAAGUUAAUACCUUGCAGGAUUGACGUUACCUACAGAAGAAGCACCGGCUAACUCCGUGCCAGCAGCCGCGGUAAUACCGAGGGUGC
rnacentral:rRNA from 1 species